rnacentral:rRNA from 1 species
AACGAACGCUGGCGGCAUGCCUAACACAUGCAAGUCGAACGAGACCUUCGGGUCUAGUGGCGCACGGGUGCGUAACGCGUGGGAACCUGCCCUUAGGUUCGGAAUAACUCCCCGAAAGGGGUGCUAAUACCGGAUAAUGUCUUCGGACCAAAGAUUUAUCGCCUUUGGAUGGGCCCGCGUUGGAUUAGCUAGUUGGUAGGGUAAAAGCCUACCAAGGCGACGAUCCAUAGCUGGUCUGAGAGGAUGAUCAGCCACACUGGGACUGAGACACGGCCCAGACUGCUACGGGAGGGAGCGGUGGAGAAUAUUGGACGAGGGGCGAAAGCCUGAUCCAGCAAUGCCGCGUAAGUGAUGAAGGCCUUAGGGUUGUAAAGCUCUUUUACCCGGGAUGAUAAUGACGGUACCGGGAGAAUAAGCACCGGCUAACUCCGUG